UACGUAGGGGGCAAGCGUUGUCCGGAUUCAUUGGGCGUAAAGGGUGCGUAGGCGGCGGGGCAAGUCUGAUGUGAAAUCCCGGGGCUCAACCCCGGAACUGCAUUGGAUACUGCCUUGCUUGAGUACUGGAGAGGGAACUGGAAUUUACGGUGUAGCAGUGAAAUGCGUAGAGAUCGUAAGGAAGGCCAGUGGCGAAGGCGAGUUCCUGGACAGUUACUGACGCUGAGGCACGAAGGCCAGGGGAGCAAACGGG
rnacentral:rRNA from 1 species